UUAAAACACUGGUUCCGGUAUGAUCACUGAAGUUAAGCAACAUCAAGUCUGGUUAGUACCUAGAUGGGUGACCACUUAGGAAUACUACAUGCUA